ACCCGAUCACUUAUCUCGCGAUUUCAUAACUGUACUACUGAAACACACUUAUUGGAAUCAAUGAAAUGUUUUAACUGUCAUGAACAUGGAAAGCCACAGUUUAUACAACCCCUUCCUAUUUGCAGAAAUUAAUAAUAGGCUAAAAGGCACAGGCAGUCCAGUUAUACACCUAUCAACUAGUAACAAGUAAAAGUCCUACUCAAUGACCAAUUAAAGAUAGAAGGGAAUUCAACAGGAACUUGGCAUCAUUUCAUUUCAUCUUCAACUUCAGGUUUAUAUCAGUACAUGAUUUCAGAGUGUGUACCUGGAGAUUGUAAAGAAAGGGAAAAUGAGAUCAGCAGUAGUAGAUAAUAGCAACAAGAAACCAACAGCAAGUCACAACAGUUUACAGCAACACCGUUUCCGAAACCAGAAAUACACUCAACAGGCAAAUAGACCCAACUUAAAACCAACUUCAACCAGAAAGGAGUAGAAAGCAGUCCAAGAGUAAUGUAAAAACCAAUAGAAACCAAGACAUCCAGAACACAACCUUGACCAAACCAAUUGGUAUUGAAUUUUGAUUCUAACAAACAUCUCCCAAACGAUAAACGACUCCCAAUAUCUUAACUUCUAGUAUAGGACAGAAGCAAAAAAGGACAAGAAGAAAGGUUCUAGCUAUUUCCGAUCCUAAGUGAAGCGAUGACUCUCCACUCUUUCUAUGAACUCUUCCUUUCAAAAUGUUCAAAGACCUCUCUUGUUUUUCUUUUGUUCUCAAUCUUUUCAUCAAUAUUCAGAAUGUAUUCUCCUGUAUAUUCGUGUGUUAAGCUCUCUCCCUAUUUUCAGAAUGUUCUUCUCCAAACUACUGACCCUUUUUUUCAGAUUAAAAGACCAGCCUCUAUUGCUAUCUUAAACUCUCAAUUUUCUUAACAGAUUUUUUUCCCCUUUUUAAGUGUCCAAUGAUCCUUCCUUUUAUAUCUCAAGAGUAAGACCCCUCCCUACCUAUUUACCUAUUGUUACUACCCCUUUCAUUAUUACCCUUAUCUAAUUACCCCUACCCCUUUCUUGAAUUUCAGCCCCCACAAAUAUUCCCUCCUAUGUCUCUUUUAACUUUUUAUCAUUACUUACACCAUUCUUAAAUUCAAAUAACCCAAAAGUAGUCAAACAGAAAUCCCACAGUCCCCCUUAAAUUACUCCUUGUUCCCCACUUAUUUUGUUUCCCACUAUUGCAUUAGUUUAAUGUCAAUUAGCAUUUUAGUGGGCAUAGCACUCAACUUAAACAAUUAAGCAAUUUUUCUAUACCUAAAUUAACCUUGAGGUUACUGCAAUUACUGUCAUAUCCCCAUCUGAUCCCCUUCAAUCUGUACCAGACCCCACAGCUAUAACCAAUUCAAUCCUAUCCAAACACACAAAAUGAUUUCAGGCAGAAGGGAUAAGGGAAUGAGGUUCAUGUGGCAUUAAAAUGAGCGAGUCAGUCUGGUUCAAAGAGGCAAUUGGGUACAUUCAACAACUCCAAUUCAAUCACAUAAGAACCGAAAUGAGGCAGAAACGACACAACACUGGAAUGAACAAUUCGUGAUUCCCUAAUUUCAUUCAAUGAAUUCAGUUGACGACCUUCGAUUAAUUGACUAUAUGAGCUAUAACAGAUAGCUAACAAUCAAUUAACAAGAUGUAUCAAACCGGUUACCAUAUGGCUUCAGUGAUUUUAAUAGGGAAAUCUAAUAUGAACUAAACUAUUUAUACGACUUUAAACAGGUUGAACACACAACUCACAAUAACAAUAACUAACAAACAAACAGAAGCAAAUGACCAUAUAAAAGGUCUUAUGAAGACAGACAGAAUUGAAAGAAAAAUAACGGAAAAAUCAAACAAAUUAACUAAACAUGCAAACAAACGCAAAUAAAAGAAAAACAAGACAGAAGGAAAGGAGAACUUAUCUUGGAAGAUCAAGAACAAAACGACCCAGGCUUGAACUAGAAUCGACCAUUUGAAGUCGAACGGACUUUAAUCGAAGUGUUCUCAACAUAGAACACCUCGAUUAAGGUCUAUUAGACCCCAACCCUUUGUUAAUUUGGACAGACCCCCAUGGAUUUGUGUUUUAGGGUUCCCACAGUCAAUUUGGGGUUCGACCUUCUCAGGUUAGAUUCAAACCAAUCCUUAGUUGGUUAAGGCAUGAGGGAAGUCAGUGGAGUGGCUAGUAUCAAUUGGAAGUGGUUUGACAUAGGUUGAGUUUUGGUUCGAAUCUUCAAAUGAAGAUUCGAGCCGAUGUGGAAUGAUUCGAGCCAAGGGAGUAGUGGAUUUGGGUUCAGGGUGUGAAGGGGGUUUGUGGUGUUAAGGAGGUGGUCGACGGCGUAGUUGCCGCUGGGUUUCAGGCGGAAGUGCAGGGUGGCGGCUACGGUUUGGGUAAGGGGAUCAUCUCUGAUAAAGACGAUGAUGAAUAGGGAAGAGAGGGGGUGUUUGGAUUAGGAGGGCUGGGUGUUUGGAUUAGGAG
rnacentral:lncRNA from 1 species